rnacentral:rRNA from 1 species
AGAGUUUGAUCCUGGCUCAGGAUGAACGCUGGCGGCGUGCUUAACACAUGCAAGUCGAACGAAGCACUUUAUUACGAUUUCUUCGGAAUGACGAUUUAGUGACUGAGUGGCGGACGGGUGAGUAACGCGUGGGUAACCUGCCUUAUACAGGGGGAUAACAGUUAGAAAUGACUGCUAAUACCGCAUAAGCGCACAGGAUUGCAUGAUCUGGUGUGAAAAACUCCGGUGGUAUAAGAUGGACCCGCGUCUGAUUAGCUGGUUGGUGAGGUAACGGCCCACCAAGGCGACGAUCAGUAGCCGACCUGAGAGGGUGACCGGCCACAUUGGGACUGAGACACGGCCCAAACUCCUACGGGAGGCAGCAGUGGGGAAUAUUGCACAAUGGGGGAAACCCUGAUGCAGCGACGCCGCGUGAGCGAAGAAGUAUUUCGGUAUGUAAAGCUCUAUCAGCAGGGAAGAAAAAAUGACGGUACCUGACUAAGAAGCCCCGGCUAACUACGUGCCAGCAGCCGCGGUAAUACGUAGGGGGCAAGCGUUAUCCGGAUUUACUGGGUGUAAAGGGAGCGCAGGCGGUGCGGCAAGUCUGAUGUGAAAGCCCGGGGCUCAACCCCGGGACUGCAUUGGAAACUGUCGUACUUGAGUAUCGGAGAGGUAAGUGGAAUUCCUAGUGUAGCGGUGAAAUGCGUAGAGAUUGGGAGGAACACCAGUGGCGAAGGCGACUAACUGGACUGUAACUGACGCUGAGGCGCGAAAGUGUGGGGAGCAAACAGGAUUAGAUACCCUGGUAGUCCACACUGUAAACGAUGAAUGCUAGGUGUAGGGGGUAUCGACCCCUUCUGUGCCGCAGUCAACACAAUAAGCAUUCCGCCUGGGGAGUACGGCCGCAAGGUUGAAGCUCAAAGGAAUUGACGGGGGCCCGCACAAGCAGCGGAGCAUGUGGUUUAAUUCGACGCAACGCGAAGAACCUUACCAGGUCUUGACAUCCACUUAAACUUACAGAGAUGUAAGGUGUGCUUGCACAAAGUGAGACAGGUGGUGCAUGGUUGUCGUCAGCUCGUGUCGUGAGAUGUUGGGUUAAGUCCCGCAACGAGCGCAACCCUUAUCUUCAGUUACUAACGCGUAGAGGUGAGGACUCUGAAGAGACUGCCGGGGACAACUCGGAGGAAGGUGGGGACGACGUCAAAUCAUCAUGCCCCUUAUGCUUAGGGCUACACACGUGCUACAAUGGGUGGUACAGAGGGCAGCCAAGUCGUGAGGCCGAGCUAAUCCCUUAAAGCCAUUCUCAGUUCGGAUUGUAGGCUGAAACUCGCCUACAUGAAGCUGGAGUUACUAGUAAUCGCAGAUCAGAAUGCUGCGGUGAAUGCGUUCCCGGGUCUUGCACUCACCGCCCGUCA